CCUACGGGUGGCAGCAGUGGGGAAUAUUGCACAAUGGGGGAAACCCUGAUGCAGCGACGCCGCGUGAGCGAUGAAGGUUUUCGGUAUGUAAAGCUCUAUCAGCAGGGAAGAAAAGGACGGUACCUGACUACGAAUCCCCGUCUAACUACGGGCCAGCAGCCGCGGUAAUACGUCGGGGGCAAGCGUUAUCCGGAUUUACUGGGGGUAAAGGGGGCGCAGACGGCAAUGCAAGCCAGGAGUGAAAGCCCGGGGCCCAACCCCGGGACUGCGCUUGGAACUGCAUGGCUGGAGUACAGGAGGGGCAGGCGGAAUUCGUAGUGUAGCGGUGAAAUGCGUAGAUAUUAGGAGGAACUCCGGUGGCGAAGGCGGCCUGCUGGACUGUGACUGACGUUGAGGCACGAAGGCGUGGGGAGCAAACAGGAUUAGAUACCCCAGUAGUC
rnacentral:rRNA from 1 species